rnacentral:misc_RNA from 1 species
GAAAUGCGAUAAUUAAUGUGAAUUGCAGAAUUCAGUGAAUCAUCGAGUCUUUGAACGCACAUUGCGCCCCCUGGUAUUCCGGGGGGCAUGCCUGUCCGAGCGUCAUUGCUGCCCUCAAGCACGGCUUGUGUGUUGGGCUUCCGUCCCUGGCAACGGGGACGGGCCCAAAAGGCAGUGGCGGCACCAUGUCUGGUCCUCGAGCGUAUGGGGCUUUGUCCCCCGCUCCCGUAGGUCCAGCUGGCAGCUAGCCUCGCAACCAAUCUUUUUACCCAGGUUGACCUCGGAUCAGGUAGGGAUACCCGCUGAACUUAAGC